GACAGAGUGGACAGGAUGGACUCCAGAGAGGUAUGGGGACCCAGGUUCCUCAGGAUCAGAGCUGGAGAGAAGAGAGAGAACAUUAGAAGGAGACAGAGUGGACAGGAUGGACUCCAGAGAGGUAUGGGGACCCAGGUUCCUCAGGAUCAGAGCUGGAGAGAAGAGAGAGAACAUUAGGAGACAGAGUAGACAGGAUGCACUCCAGAGAGGUAUGGGGACCCAGGUUCCUCAGGAUCAGAGCUGGAGAGAAGAGAGAGAACAU